CGAAUAUGUUGUUGAUCUUCCAGUGAUUGCUAUUCAUCCGUUGCCGUCGGAAGCUGAGACUGACUCUGCGGUUGGCACUUACGAUAGACAAUCGAUCGGCAGCUCGAUUUUGUCUGACAGGUCGUCUGUCUGGUCUACUGGUAGUUCUGCUCUGUCGGGUGAGACGACUACUACUGCUACAGGACAUGAACGAGCAAGGGCCCCUAGGCAGUUGACGCGUAUUCCAUCUUUGACCAAGAGCAAACCUACCAGACAUGUGAACUUAGGAAGAGCAAGAGCUCUUGCUGACCUUGGACUGCAAAUUGAGCCUGCCUACCAUAUUACUAAUGUUAUAGUGGGGCAUUCACAUGAACUGCAACCUGGAGUCAGAAUUAUGGAG